GAUGAACGCUGGCAGCGUGCCUAAUACAUGCAAGUCGAACGCUGGAAAUCUAGCUUGCUAGAUUGAAGGAGUGGCGAACGGGUGAGUAAUACAUAAGCAACCUACCCACGAAGACUGGGAUAAUCUCUGGAAACGGGGACUAAUACCGGAUAGGUAAUCGGAAGGCAUCUUCUGAUUAUUAAAGGUUAAAAACACUGGUGGAUGGGCUUAUGGCGCAUUAGUUAGUUGGUGAGGUAACGGCCCACCAAGACGAUGAUGCGUAGCCGGCCUGAGAGGGUGAACGGCCACAUUGGGACUGAGACACGGCCCAGACUCCUACGGGAGGCAGCAGUAGGGAAUUUUCGGCAAUGGAGGAAACCCUGACCGAGCAACGCCGCGUGAGUGAUGACGGCCUUCGGGUUGUAAAGCUCUGUUGUAAGGGAAGAACGGUAGAUAGAGAAUAUCUAAAUGACGGUACCUUACCAGAAAGCCACGGCUAACUACGUG
rnacentral:rRNA from 1 species